rnacentral:lncRNA from 1 species
UUGUUUUUCAUUGCAGGGGAAGAAGAAGAAGAAAUAAGUUUCCUGUGUUUAGUGGUUCUUGUCAAAGCAAAGAAAUGUCGAACAUAGACAUUGAAGGGAUAUUGAAGGAGCUACCUAACGAUGGGAGGAUCCCAAAGACCAAGAUCGUUUGCACUCUAGGACCAGCUUCUCGCACUGUUCCUAUGAUCGAAAAGCUUCUCAGAGCCGGUAUGAACGUUGCUCGCUUCAACUUCUCUCAUGGAAGCCAUGAGUACCACCAGGGCACACUCGACAACCUCCGCACCGCUAUGCAAAACACUGGCAUUCUCGCUGCUGUCAUGCUUGACACAAAGGUAUUAAAAACAAAAGUCUUUCAUCUAUCUAACCAUAUUUAGAGUCAAAUCAGCAUCUGAUUCCUCUUGUUUGAAUCUGCAGGGGCCUGAGAUACGUACUGGUUUCUUGAAAGAUGGGAACCCUAUACAACUCAAGGAAGGCCAAGAGAUCACCAUCACCACCGACUACGACAUUCUAGGAGACGAGACGACGAUCUCCAUGAGCUAUAAGAAGCUUCCCUUAGAUGUGAAGCCCGGAAACACCAUUCUAUGUGCGGAUGGAAGCAUAAGUCUAGCGGUCCUGUCAUGUGAUCCAGAGUCUGGAACUGUUAGGUGCCGGUGCGAAAACACGGCGAUGCUUGGCGAGAGAAAGAACGUGAAUCUCCCCGGUGUCGUUGUUGAUCUCCCCACUCUGACUGAGAAGGACGUUGAAGAUAUUAUGGGUUGGGGUGUUCCAAACAGCAUCGAUAUGAUUGCGCUUUCUUUUGUCCGUAAAGGCUCGGAUCUUGUUAAUGUCAGGAGGGUUCUUGGUUCUCAUGCUAAAAGCAUAAUGCUGAUGUCAAAGGUACUUCGAAUUCUUUCACUUGUGGCAUUGCAUUUUAUGUAGGCCCGCGGGUUCGGUUAGUUCGGAAUCUGGUUAGUUCGGGUCGGUCGAAAUCGGUUUGGUUUUCGGUUAGAGUUGUUGGUUAAAUUUUCGGUUUAAAUUGAAUAAAAUCUGAAAGAUCCAAGUUAUUUUAUUUGGGUUCGAAUUUAGGUUAGUUUGGUUUAGAAUUUUGGUUAAAAUUGGUUCUGUUUGGUAAUUUUUUUAUAGAAAACCGAACUAACUGAUGACUGAACCGAAAACCAACUUCUUUUUCCAAAUUGAACCAAACCUUUUAAUCGAACCGAAAUCCAAACUUUUCGGUUCAGUCCAGCAGGUUCGGUUCAGUUUGGUUUUUGGUUAGAGUUUUUGAUUAAAUUUUCGGUUUAAAUUGAAGAAAAUCUGAAAAAACGAAGUUAAUUUAUUUCGGUUCGAAUUUAGAUUAGUUUGGUUUAGAAUUUUGGUUAAAAUUGGUUUUGUUUGGUAAUUCUUUUUUAGAAAACCGAACCGAAACCCAACUUUCUUUUAGUAGCCGAAUUGGACCAAACCUUAAAACCGAACCGAAAUCCAAACUUCGAACUUUUCGGUACAGUCCGGCAGAUUCGGUUCAGUUAAUAACCGCAGACCUAACUUUAUGUAUAUAUUGAGGCAUAGACCUGACUUUUGGUUUUGGUGUUUUAUAUUUGAAGGUUGAGAACCAAGAAGGAGUGAUUAACUUUGAUGAGAUACUGCGCGAAACAGAUGCAUUCAUGGUUGCUCGUGGUGAUCUCGGGAUGGAGAUUCCCAUAGAGAAGAUCUUCUUGGCUCAGAAGCUGAUGAUCUACAAGUGCAACCUCGCAGGCAAACCAGUGGUCACAGCCACUCAGAUGCUCGAGUCAAUGAUCAAAUCACCAAGGCCAACGCGUGCUGAAGCCACAGACGUUGCAAACGCCGUCCUCGACGGCACAGACUGCGUGAUGCUCAGCGGAGAGAGCGCAGCAGGAGCUUAUCCGGAGAUAGCCGUGAAAGUCAUGGCCAAGAUCUGCAUUGAAGCAGAGAGCUCGCUUGAUUACAACACGAUCUUCAAAGAGAGGAUCAGAGCAACUCCGGUUCCAAUGAGCCCGUUGGAGAGUCUUGCAUCGUCAGCUGUAAGGGCUGCGAACAAAGCGCAUGCGAAGCUCAUCAUUGUGUUGACUCGCGGAGGUUCAACAGCUAAACUUGUAGCUAAGUACAGACCCUCUGUUCCGAUUCUUUCGGUGGUUGUACCAGUAAUGACCACUGAUUCCUUUGACUGGACUUGUAGCGACGAGUCGCCUGCAAGACACAGUUUGAUAUACAGAGGGUUGAUCCCUAUGUUGGCUGAAGGAUCUGCGAAGGCGACGGAUAGCGAGUCCACGGAGGUUAUCAUUGAAUCCGCUUUGAAGUCAGCUGUGAAGAGAGGAUUGUGCAACCAUGGUGAUGCUGUUGUGGCGCUGCACCGUAUUGGAGUUGCCUCGGUUAUUAAGAUCUGUGUGGUGAAGUGAAGAAAUAAAAGAAUGGCUCUUGGAGUGCUUAUGAUUGUUGGCAAUCAUAAACUGAGAGUUAACUUCGUUGCUUGAAAUAAAGAUGUACUGUUAAGACAUCUCUCUCCCUUUUGUAUGGAUUACCACCUACUUUUGAUGUACAACACUGUUUCUCUUAAUAAGCUUUGCUUAUAAAAGUUUAAGCAUUAAGGUUUUAGUAAUAUAAUAACAUACAAAGAUGGAGAAAGCAAUGCAUAAAAGAUUGAAACAAAAUGUAAAGAGAAGUAUGUUUCUUUCAGAUGUUUAGAAUCAUAAAUACUAUUCUAACUUCUAAAUCAUCAGUUAAUCAGCCGCCGUGGGAGAGAGAAGAUUAAACAAUGAAGCCUGAUGUAACUGAGAUCACCUGUUCUGAAAGGGGUUGGUUGUUAUAACGUAUUGCGCCUGAUGUUAUUGCUUCCACUGUUUUCUGUAACAUGCAAUAGAUCGAUUAGUGUCUGAAGUAUUAACAGAUUGAAUAAUAAAGCCCGGGAUGUGGCAGAUGCUUACUCAUCGUGACACUAACGAAACUCAUCAUGGAAGCCGUAGUCAUCAUCAGAGUCAUCUUCGUUAAAAAUGGCACUGUAGAAGACGUAUGGAUGCUCAAUCAUCUCUGCCAAAGUCAGACGUCCAUCUUUGUCUGAAUCCGCCUGGUAAGAUAAGAGAGAACAAUAUAACAUUUGAGCAAUACAACAUCAAACUAAAGCCAUUUGUUUUGAAAAGUGAUUAUGUACCUGUGAUAUAAUAUAAUCAGCUUGUUGUUUUGCGUAGUAAUGCUCGGUAGGAUGGAUUUUACUGAUGAUGGGAAGCAAUUCAACGUCUGAUAAGUACCUGCAGAGAAGUCAGAGGAAGCUAUGUUAAGGGAUGCAUACAUAAAUGUUUAUCAUGAUGUGUACUCUUCUCAAGUUACGUACCCGUCACCGUCUUUGUCAAGCUGAGAAAACAACUGCUUUGCAGGGCCUUCAGGUAAGUCAUGAUAAGGAUGCGUAGCGUUGUGAUUGUCUUCCUCGUAGUUUCUCACAGUGUCAAAGAGUCCGUGGUAAAACUCUUCGAAACCGAUCUUACCAUCUUUAUCUGAAUCUCUUUCUCUGCAAAAGGGUAGGAGAAGAAAGCUAAAACAAGUGUUCUUUAAAAGCUAUGCCAAUAACAUAUGGAUACACUACAGUACCUUACUUCCUCCUUGCACAACCAUAGCAGUAGUUUAUGGUUCUUGGUAUCAGCAGGAUGAAGAAAGCUAUAGGGAAGAAAGAGAGAGGUAGUGUACAUAUCUGCUAAUACCUCUGUUAUGAUUGUUUUUUGUUUUUGCAGUACAAUCUCUAUGAUGGAUCCACGUAGAAGUUGGGCGGCGAGAUGGUUAAGAAUUGGUAUGUUAAAAGCAAUUACACUUUUAACUUGUUCUCUUUGUCCAACCAUUACACUUGACUUUUGAUAUUAUUGCUACGUUCAUCACAUCAAGAGAUUCUGUAUGUGGAAAUAUAUAUUACCGACCGCCAAACUCCGCUUUAGAUCUCCUAUUAACUGUGGUUUAAGUGGUGACUGCAUUGAUAAUUCUAGUUUUCUUCGUCCGAAUAGUAGGCUUUGAUGUUGUUGUAUUCUCGGAGUCUUAUUUUAGACGGAAGUUAGUUCUAACACGUUGUGAUAUUCUUGUUUACAGGUAAAUUUGCUCCUGGUUGCUACGCUCUUGCUGUCUCAGAGACACUCUCAGAGGACAUGCAGGUAAAUGUACUUGAUCGGCUAUAUAAUAAGCAAUCCUUAGUUCUGGUUUUCAAACUCCUAAGAAUAAGGGAUCCAUGUUUCAUAACGAGUGUUCUCAUUUUCUUUUAUUUUUCACUUGUUGUACAGUCACUAUGCCAAGAAGAGCGAGUUCAGUACAUUCCGCCAAAACGCAUUUGAAGCCCUUUUCAUCAACUGUCUUCAUGUGGACAUCAGCUUCAAGAAGCCUGAGUGUGUGAAUCCAUGGAGGCUAUCAACGGAAGUAGUUUAGUUUAACUAUGUUUCAUGAUUUCAUAUCUUUGUUUUGCCAACAAAAGAACAUCUCUUGCAACUCAUUUGAUAACCUCCGGAAAAAAAUAUCACUAAAAAAAAAAAAAAACAAAUUGGAUAUAUAAAAUAAUAUUCUUUUUCUUAUAUAAUUUUAAAAAUUCGAGUUCACGUGGCUGUCGAUACCAACUUCGUUUCACAAAAGCUAAUUCAAUAAUAAAAAUAUUAUUUAAUACUCAAAAACAGAGUCAUCACACAAGUCCAACCCGAAAAAACAAGAGGUUGUUCUUGUUCCGACACGACAACACAUCCAGAAUCGGAGCUAAUAAGGUAAAACCUCUCUCUCUCUCUCUCCGAUUUCAUCUCCAAUCUACCUUAUGUUCUAUGUCCUGGAUGCAAAACUUAGAUACUCCGGUUCUUUUUGAAGUGUUGACUUCCUUUAAUUCUAUGUUCGGUUUGCUGAGAAUCUGUUGAACUGUUACGUUUGCUUCUGUGUAGAGUUAGCUACCUUCUCCUUUGGUCUAAUGGAUUUGUAUUCUUUUGUUGAUAGGUAUAAGUGUUACUUAUGUUCAAAUUUGUUUUUCAUUGCAGGGGAAGAAGAAGAAGAAAUAAGUUUCCUGUGUUUAGUGGUUCUUGUCAAAGCAAAGAAAUGUCGAACAUAGACAUUGAAGGGAUAUUGAAGGAGCUACCUAACGAUGGGAGGAUCCCAAAGACCAAGAUCGUUUGCACUCUAGGACCAGCUUCUCGCACUGUUCCUAUGAUCGAAAAGCUUCUCAGAGCCGGUAUGAACGUUGCUCGCUUCAACUUCUCUCAUGGAAGCCAUGAGUACCACCAGGGCACACUCGACAACCUCCGCACCGCUAUGCAAAACACUGGCAUUCUCGCUGCUGUCAUGCUUGACACAAAGGUAUUAAAAACAAAAGUCUUUCAUCUAUCUAACCAUAUUUAGAGUCAAAUCAGCAUCUGAUUCCUCUUGUUUGAAUCUGCAGGGGC